rnacentral:rRNA from 1 species
UCAAGUUAUUAAGGGUGCAGGGCGGAUGCCUUGGCACUAGGAGCCGAUGAAGGACGUGAUAAGCUGCGAUAAGCUUCGGGGAGUUGCACGUAAACUUUGAUCCGAAGAUUUCCGAAUGAGGAAACUCACUUAGAGUAAUGUCUAAGUAUCAUUAAGUGAAUACAUAGCUUAAUGAGGGGAACUCAGGGAACUGAAACAUCUAAGUACCUGAAGGAAGAGAAAGAAAUUCGAUUCCGUAAGUAGCGGCGAGCGAACGCGGAUUAGCCCAAACCAAUAAAGUUUUCUUUAUUGGGGUUGCGGACAUAUCAUAACGAAGAGGUAUCGUAAUUGAAGAGGUUUGGAAAGACCCACCACAGAAGGUAAUAGUCCUGUAUGUUAAACGAGAAGACUUCAGAUAUGAUCCAGAGUACCACGGGACACGUGAAACCCUGUGGGAAGCAGGAGGGACCACCCUCCAAGGCUAAAUACUACCUAGUGACCGAUAGCGUAUAGUACCGUGAGGGAAAGGUGAAAAGAACCCCGGGAGGGGAGUGAAAUAGAACCUGAAACCCUGCACUUACAAGCUGUGGAAGCACAUUUCUUGUGUGACCGCGUACUUUUUGUAGAACGGGCCAACGAGUUACGUUAAGUAGCAAGGUUAAGCACUUAAGGUGCGGAGCCGUAGCGAAAGCGAGUUUUAACUGAGCGUUCAGUUACUUGACGUAGACCCGAAACCGGGCGACCUACCCAUGAGCAGGAUGAAGCGAAAGUAAAAUUUCGUGGAGGUCCGAACCCACGAGCGUUGAAAAGCUCGGGGAUGACUUGUGGGUAGCGGUGAAAUUCCAAUCGAGCCCGGAGAUAGCUGGUUCUCCCCGAAAUAGCUUUAGGGCUAGCCUCAAGGUGAGAGAUACGGAGGUAGAGCACUGAAUGUCCUAGGGGGUAUUGCACCUACCGAAGACUAUCAAACUCCGAAUGCCGUCAUCUUAUACUUGGGAGUCAGACUGUGGGUGAUAAGAUUCAUAGUCGAAAGGGCAACAGCCCAGAUCGUCAGCUAAGGUCCCUAAAUGUAAGUUAAGUGGUAAAGGAUGUGGGAUUGCACAGACAACCAGGAUGUUGGCUUAGAAGCAGCCACUCAUUCAAAGAGUGCGUAAUAGCUCACUGGUCGAGUGAUCCUGCGCCGAAGAUUUCCGGGGCUAAAACUUACUACCGAAGCUACGGCAUCAGUAAUGAUGGGUAGGGGAGCUUCCCAUACGGGUUGAAGCAUGACCGUAAGGACAUGUGGACAGUAUGGGAGUGAGAAUGUUGGCAUGAGUAGCGAGAUGUGGGUGAGAAUCCCACAGGCCGUAAACCCAAGGUUUCCAGGGGAAGGUUCGUCCGCCCUGGGUUAGUCGGGACCUAAGCUGAGGCCGAAAGGCGUAGGUGAUGGACAACAGGUUGAUAUUCCUGUACUACCGAUAACCGUUUGAGAGAAGGGAUGACACAGUAGGAUAAGCUAAGCACACUGUUGGUUAUGUGUGCCCAAGCAUUGAGGCGGUCAAAGUAGGCAAAUCCGCUUUGAUAAUGCUGGGAUGUGAUGGGGAGCGAAAUUUAGUAGCGAAGUAGCUGAUUUCACACUGUCAAGAAAAGUCUCUAUCGAGGUUAAAGGUACCCGUACCGCAAACCGACACAGGUGGGUGAGGAGAGUAUCCUAAGGCCAGCGAGAGAACUGUUGUUAAGGAACUCGGCAAAAUGACCCCGUAACUUAGGGAUAAGGGGUGCCACCAUCAGGUGGCCGCAGAGAAUAGGCCCAAGCGACUGUUUACCAAAAACAUAGGUUUCUGCUAAGUCGCAAGACGAUGUAUAGGAGCUGACGCCUGCCCGGUGCUGGAAGGUUAAGGGGAUCUGUUAGAGCAAUCGAAGCAGUGAACUUAAGCCCCAGUAAACGGCGGCCGUAACUAUAACGGUCCUAAGGUAGCGAAAUUCCUUGUCGGGUAAGUUCCGACCCGCACGAAAGGCGUAACGAUUUGGGCACUGUCUCAACAACAGACUCGGUGAAAUUGUAAUUCCGGUGAAGAUGCCGGAUACCUGCGACAGGACGGAAAGACCCCAUGGAGCUUUACUGUAGCUUGACAUUGGGUCUUGGUACUACAUGUACAGGAUAGGUGGGAGGCUUUGAAACCAGGACGCCAGUUUUGGCGGAGCCAUCCUUGGGAUACCACCCUUGUAGUACUGGGACUCUAACCAUAGGCCAUGAAUCUGGUCUUGGGACACUGUCAGGUGGGCAGUUUGACUGGGGCGGUCGCCUCCCAAAAGGUAACGGAGGCGCUCAAAGGUUCUCUCAGUACGGUCGGAAAUCGUACGUAGAGUGUAAAGGCAAAAGAGAGCUUGAUUGCAAGACAUACAGGUCGAGCAAGGAUGAAAAUCGGACUUAGUGAUCCGGUGGUUCUGCGUGGAAGGGCCAUCGCUCAACGGAUAAAAGCUACCCUGGGGAUAACAGGCUUAUCUCCCCCAAGAGUCCACAUCGACGGGGAGGUUUGGCACCUCGAUGUCGGCUCAUCACAUCCUGGGGCUGUAGUAGGUCCCAAGGGUUGGGCUGUUCGCCCAUUAAAGUGGUACGCGAGCUGGGUUCAGAACGUCGUGAGACAGUUCGGUCCCUAUCCGUCGCAGGCGUAGGAAAUUUGAGAAGACCUGUCCUUAGUACGAGAGGACCGGGAUGGACGUACCUCUGGUGUACCAGUUGUUCUGCCAAGGGCAUGGCUGGGUAGCUAUGUACGGAAUGGAUAAGCGCUGAAAGCAUCUAAGCGCGAAGCCAACUUCAAGAUAAGAUUUCCCACCGCAAGGGUAAGACUCCAGAAAGACUAUCUGGUUGAUAGGUCGAAGGUGUAAGUGCAGCAAUGUAUUUAGCUUAUCGAUACUAAUAGGUCGAGGACUUGACCAA